UAAUACUCAUAGAUGGUGUUGUUGUUCUUCCUCUACUUCCAGUUCUACCAACUCCAGUCAUUGUAAUUGAAAACAAAAAAAUUUUCAAUAAAUUUGUUAAAAAAACAAUGAACUUAUUUAUUUAUUUUUAAAUUAUUCUGAUAAAUUUAUCAAAUUAUUGAGUAAUUAUGUUCAAAGAAAAUUUUUUUGAGUACAAAAAAUCAAUUGAAAAAUUUUUUAAAAAGAAAAAUGUCAGAUAUGGUCUCCCGUUUAUAUUAUUUUGCGUUUGCGCAUCUUUUGCAAUGACAUCAGUCACAGAAGUGAGGUACAAAUAUCGAGCAGUUAAAACAGUGAGAGAAGAAGCAAAAAACGAAGGAUUAGAAUUGAAAAAACCUGAGGAAACUACAAUAGAAGCGCAGUAUGAAAUAAUUAAAAAAGAGAUCGAUAUCGAUAACUGGGAAAAUAAGAGGAUUGAAAGGCCUUGGGAAGAAAACGACGAAAAUGCUGAAAAAAAAUAAACAUUUUAAUUAUUUACUUUGUAAAAUAAUGUAUAGUAAGUACUUUGAUAAAUAUAUUAUAUAAUUAAAUGUAAUUAAAAAAUAAUAGUUGUGAUAAUAUCGCAAGAGUGUUCAGUUUGUGAUGAUAUUGUUACGUGCUAUCAUUUACAUGUAAGGAGGGACGAUGUCAUCAUUAAGUAUUUUUUUUAAUUUAAAUGACGUAUAACUGCAAUGUACUUGACGAAAUCUUACCUAGUGUUAUCAUAAGAUUAUCGUGAAAGUCAUAAAAGAUAUAACGAGUUCACACGUGACUGCUUGCUGAUACUAAAUUUAAAAAAUGGGACAAAUACUGCAUCAAAAUAAAAAUAAAAUAAAUAUAACUUAUUGUUUGUCGACAAACAAAUUUACGAUACAUAAAAUAACUAUUAUUUCCUCGUUAAAUAUUUCCGAUUUACCCUAUUGCUGCACCGGUUUUAUUGGGAGGGUAAUUGAAACGCAUCGUUUGACCGCGAACUAAAAUAAACGUUAGGGGAUCCAGAAGACGGAUGUCGUGAGUGUAUGCGUUUAGGGCGACUCGUCAGCGCAAUCACCAGCAUCAUUAUCAACGUGGGACACUUUAGCUAAUUUAUAUUUUCACUGCGCAUUAUGUAUUUUAUUAAAUACACUCUUGCAGUUGCAUUAUCAAAUUAUUUAUAUAUUUAUUUAUUUAUCAUACCAACCGAUCACCAGUGAAGCAACCAAAUCAAUGGCAAAGUCUAUGACAUUACAUAUAAAAGUAACAAUGGUUAUUAUCUAUUUAGAAUCGAACCUCUUGCAUGCAGCAACUUCAUUAAAAUAUUAUUUUAUACACAUUAUUUUUUUUUUAACAUUAUUUUCUUGUUUAUCAAUAGGGAUAAUUUGUAAAUAGAUUAAAUUAC